CUUUUAGAAGAAAACUGGACAGCAAGGUUAAGGAGGCAGUGACUCUUUUACGUCAGUUCCGAAAAUCAGCAGCAGGGGGUUUUCUUCAUUUCCUCUUAGUGAUUUUCAUAGAAAAACCAUGAUCUACGAAGAUCUAACGGUUCAAUCUUAGAUCCGACUUCGGUAAUGAAAUCCUAGAAGCCCGAUCUAUGUUAUAACCGAUUGUGUUGAGAUUUUGUGGUUUGGAGUUGCUAGGAGCUUCCCGAGCAUUUGGUCUUUGCUUGGCGAAUUUUUGAGGAUGUCCCUUUGGUUGCAGGUACUCCGGAGUUAGAUGACGAUCUAGUAGCGUUAUAUAUGGGAUAUUACGAUUGAGGCACACCGCGACAGUCGUAAUGGGUUGGACUAUGGUGUCCACUCUUUUGGUAUAUUUUGUAUAUGGCUUGUGACGUGGGUGUCACGUAUUCUUUUGUAUAAGCCAUUCUUUUGUUAUAUGAUGUAAUGAUGUUAAGCCUUAAACAGAUAAACAUGUGUAUGGCUCUUUUGUAAAAUCAGCAGGUCAUGUUUUAGUUGUACUUUUCCGCUGAAA